rnacentral:rRNA from 1 species
AUUGAACGCUGGCGGCAUGCCUUACACAUGCAAGUCGAACGGUAACAGGUCUUCGGAUGCUGACGAGUGGCGAACGGGUGAGUAAUACAUCGGAACGUGCCUAGUAGUGGGGGAUAACUACUCGAAAGAGUGGCUAAUACCGCAUGAGAUCUACGGAUGAAAGCAGGGGAUCGCAAGACCUUGUGCUACUAGAGCGGCCGAUGGCAGAUUAGGUAGGUGGUGGGAUAAAAGCUUACCAAGCCGACGAUCUGUAGCUGGUCUGAGAGGACGAUCGGCCACACGGGGACUGAGACACGGCCCAAACUCCUACGGGAGGCAGCAGUGGGGAAUUUUGGACAAUGGGCGCAAGCCUGAUCCAGCAAUGCCGCGUGCAGGAUGAAGGCCUUCGGGUUGUAAACUGCUUUUGUACGGAACGAAAAGCCCUGGGUUAAUACCCUGGGGUCAUGACGGUACCGUAAGAAUAAGCACCGGCUAACUACGUGCCAGCCGCCGCCGUAAAAC